rnacentral:rRNA from 1 species
GCUUGUUGGUGAGGUAAUGGCUCACCAAGGCGACGACGGGUAGCCGGCCUGAGAGGGUGACCGGCCACACUGGGACUGAGACACGGCCCAGACUCCUACGGGAGGCAGCAGUGGGGAAUAUUGCACAAUGGGCGAAAGCCUGAUGCAGCGACGCCGCGUGAGGGAUGACGGCCUUCGGGUUGUAAACCUCUUUCAGUAGGGAACAAGGCCAGCAUUUUUGUUGGUUGAGGGUACUUGCAGAAGAAGCGCCGGCUAACUACGUGCCAGCAGCCGCGGUAAUACGUAGGGCGCAAGCGUUAUCCGGAAUUAUUGGGCGUAAAGAGCUCGUAGGCGGUUUGUCGCGUCUGCCGUGAAAGUCCGGGGCUCAACUCCGGAUCUGCGGUGGGUACGGGCAGACUAGAGUGAUGUAGGGGAGACUGGAAUUCCUGGUGUAGCGGUGAAAUGCGCAGAUAUCAGGAGGAACACCGAUGGCGAAGGCAGGUCUCUGGGCAUUAACUGACGCUGAGGAGCGAAAGCAUGGGGAGCGAACAGGAUUAGAUACCCUGGUAGUCCAUGCCGUAAACGUUGGGCACUAGGUGUGGGGGACAUUCCACGUUUUCCGCGCCGUAGCUAACGCAUUAAGUGCCCCGCCUGGGGAGUACGGCCGCAAGGCUAAAACUCAAAGGAAUUGACGGGGGCCCGCACAAGCGGCGGAGCAUGCGGAUUAAUUCGAUGCAACGCGAAGAACCUUACCAAGGCUUGACAUGAACUGGAAAUACCUGGAAACAGGUGCCCCGCUUGCGGUCGGUUUACAGGUGGUGCAUGGUUGUCGUCAGCUCGUGUCGUGAGAUGUUGGGUUAAGUCCCGCAACGAGCGCAACCCUCGUUCUAUGUUGCCAGCACGUUAUGGUGGGGACUCAUAGGAGACUGCCGGGGUCAACUCGGAGGAAGGUGAGGACGACGUCAAAUCAUCAUGCCCCUUAUGUCUUGGGCUUCACGCAUGCUACAAUGGCCGGUACAAUGGGUUGCGAUACUGUGAGGUGGAGCUAAUC